rnacentral:lncRNA from 1 species
ACUCAAACCAGCUGUAUUAAGGAAGGUGCAAGCUUUUGGGAUUUCUGUUUGGAUUUAGUUUAGGUUCAAAAGAGCACGCACAGAUCCUGAGUGUUGUCAAGCACCCGUGACUGGGAAACGGAGGCGUCCGAUCCGUAUUGGAGUCAAUUCGCCACUUAAUUGAACACAGCCUCGAAGGGAAGGGCCAUAUUUGUGGGCCUGUCUAACAAUUAAGAGUGACCACAUGGAAUGGGGGAUGAAAGGGUUAAAGAAGAACAAAUAUUGAACACAGCUUUUCUAUGAACAAACUGCAGGCAGCUGCUGCUUUGCAAGGGGAACUUCUUGGCUGCCAUUUCUGGAUGUCAAGGCUGCAGAUACACUGGUCAGGACCCUGGGUAGAGAGAGAUGCGUCAGAAUGCGGCUCCUUUCAGAAAGGCUUCUCCGGAGGGAAGCAGUUGAUUGAGAAUAAUGGUUCUGUUUUGGAGGUUGAUGGAAGAUGCCCUUUGGCCAGGAAAACAGCUCAUGCUUUUAGAGGAGGAUAAUUGCCAGAAGGCCUCUCUGAAUAAAAAAAAAUCCUGACCUCACAGCCUUUGCGCUUACUUGGGUUAGAAUGCCACAGUGAACAUUGCCCCUUGUCAUCACGUAGAGGUGCUCACAGGUAAAGCAACACAAGGAGCAUAUAGGAUCACCUGCUGGAUCUUGUUUUUAACACCAGGGAGGAAAAUGGUGUCUUGGGUAAUGAACAUGCCUCAAGACUGAGCUGGCCAUCUUCAGUGUCAUCCAAACCCUCAGUGGCCCCUGAAAAACCCUUUGAAAAGAUUCAGCACGUUGCCAUGGAGAACAUCCCACUGAAGGAAUGUAUAGAAGUAGCAGGUGUCAGCUGCCUACCAGUUGCUUUCAUCUCUAGAAAUCUGUGACUUGCAGUAUGACAAGAACAAAAGGUGACAAUACAAAGGACAAAGGGCAAGGAAUACAGACGGAGAAGCCGCUUAGAGUCUAGGAUGGCAGAGGUUCUCUUGAUCAUUUCAUUUUUGAGCGCUUGUAGAGCUUUGGUGUACCAGAGGUGCUUGAACAGCUUACCACACCACAGAUGAAUGGCCUUUGGAUUUCUCCUAAGAAAAUGUGGCUACCUGAAAUUCAACUCCAUUUUCUGGUCUUCAAUAUUUCUUUUGUGUUCAGUUUGCCAGCUGAGGAGAAGUGGCUAAGCAUAGCCUGUUACUGAUGCUAAAGCCCAAGUUCUGAACCUAACAACUCCAGCAACAUGAUCCUGUUUCAAGAGACAAAAAAGUGACUAAUGAAAGAAAACAAUUGAUGUGCUAUGUAGAGUUUAAAAGAAGGUAAAGAGAAUAAAUUAAAAGCAACAACUC